rnacentral:rRNA from 1 species
AACGAACGGUGGCGGCGUGGAUAAGACAUGCAAGUCGAACGGGACUUUCAUUGUAGCAAUAUGAUGGAAGUUCAGUGGCGUAAGGGUGCGUAACACGUGGGAAAUCUGCCGAGAAGUGGGGGAUAGCUCGCCGAAAGGCGAAUUAAUACCGCAUGUGGUCCGUGAAGACAUCUUCGCGAAACCAAAGCCGGGGCACCCUGGCGCUUCUUGAUGAUCCCGCGGCCUAUCAGCUAGUUGGUGAGGUAACGGCUCACCAAGGCUAUGACGGGUAGCUGGUCUGAGAGGACGACCAGCCGCACUGGAACUGAGACACGGUCCAGACACCUACGGGUGGCAGCAGUCGAGAAUUUUUCUCAAUGGGCGCAAGCCUGAAGGAGCGACGCCGCGUGGAGGAUGAAGGUCUUCGGAUUGUAAACUCCUGUCAUUAGGGAGCAAAUCUUCCAAGUAACUACUGGAAGGCUGAUAGUACCUGAAGAGGAAGGGACGGCUAACUCUGUGCCAGCAGCCGCGGUAACAC